AGUGAACGCUGGCGGUAGGCCUAACACAUGCAAGUCGAACGGAAGCACAGUAAGAGCUUGCUCUUACGGGUGGCGAGUGGCGGACGGGUGAGGAAUACAUCGGAAUCUACUCUUUCGUGGGGGAUAACGUAGGGAAACUUACGCUAAUACAGCAUACGACCUACGGGUGAAAGCAGUGGAUCUUCGGACCUUGCGCGAUUGAAUGAGCCGAUGUCGGAUUAGCUAGUUGGCGGGGUAAAGGCCCACCAAGGCGACGAUCCGUAGCUGGUCUGGGAGGAUGAUCAGCCACACUGGAACUGAGACACGGUCCAGACUCCUACGGGAGGCAGCAGUGGGGAAUAUUGGACAAUGGGCGCAAGCCUGAUCCAGCCAUACCGCGUGGGUGAAGAAGGCCUUCGGGUUGUAAAGCCCUUUUGUUGGGAAAGAAAAGCAGCAGGUUAAUACCCCGCUGUUCUGACGGUACCCAAAGAAUAAGCACCGGCUAACUUCGUG
rnacentral:rRNA from 1 species